rnacentral:rRNA from 1 species
GAGAUUCCCCCAGUAGCGGCGAGCGAACGGGGAGCAGCCCAGAGCCUGAAUCAGUGUGUGUGUUAGUGGAAGCGUCUGGAAAGGCGCGCGAUACAGGGUGACAGCCCCGUACACAAAAAUGCACAUGCUGUGAGCUCGAUGAGUAGGGCGGGACACGUGGUAUCCUGUCUGAAUAUGGGGGGACCAUCCUCCAAGGCUAAAUACUCCUGACUGACCGAUAGUGAACCAGUACCGUGAGGGAAAGGCGAAAAGAACCCCGGCGAGGGGAGUGAAAAAGAACCUGAAACCGUGUACGUACAAGCAGUGGGAGCACGCUUAGGCGUGUGACUGCGUACCUUUUGUAUAAUGGGUCAGCGACUUAUAUUCUGUAGCAAGGUUAACCGAAUAGGGGAGCCGAAGGGAAACCGAGUCUUAACUGGGCGUUAAGUUGCAGGGUAUAGACCCGAAACCCGGUGAUCUAGCCAUGGGCAGGUUGAAGGUUGGGUAACACUAACUGGAGGACCGAACCGACUAAUGUUGAAAAAUUAGCGGAUGACUUGUGGCUGGGGGUGAAAGGCCAAUCAAACCGGGAGAUAGCUGGUUCUCCCCGAAAGCUAUUUAGGUAGCGCCUCGUGAAUUCAUCUCCGGGGGUAGAGCACUGUUUCGGCAAGGGGGUCAUCCCGACUUACCAACCCGAUGCAAACUGCGAAUACCGGAGAAUGUUAUCACGGGAGACACACGGCGGGUGCUAACGUCCGUCGUGAAGAGGGAAACAACCCAGACCGCCAGCUAAGGUCCCAAAGUCAUGGUUAAGUGGGAAACGAUGUGGGAAGGCCCAGACAGCCAGGAUGUUGGCUUAGAAGCAGCCAUCAUUUAAAGAAAGCGUAAUAGCUCACUGGUCGAGUCGGCCUGCGCGGAAGAUGUAACGGGGCUAAACCAUGCACCGAAGCUGCGGCAGCGACGCUUAUGCGUUGUUGGGUAGGGGAGCGUUCUGUAAGCCUGUGAAGGUGUGCUGUGAGGCAUGCUGGAGGUAUCAGAAGUGCGAAUGCUGACAUAAGUAACGAUAAAGCGGGUGAAAAGCCCGCUCGCCGGAAGACCAAGGGUUCCUGUCCAACGUUAAUCGGGGCAGGGUGAGUCGACCCCUAAGGCGAGGCCGAAAGGCGUAGUCGAUGGGAAACAGGUUAAUAUUCCUGUACUUGGUGUUACUGCGAAGGGGGGACGGAGAAGGCUAUGUUGGCCGGGCGACGGUUGUCCCGGUUUAAGCGUGUAGGCUGGUUUUCCAGGCAAAUCCGGAAAAUCAAGGCUGAGGCGUGAUGACGAGGCACUACGGUGCUGAAGCAACAAAUGCCCUGCUUCCAGGAAAAGCCUCUAAGCAUCAGGUAACAUCAAAUCGUACCCCAAACCGACACAGGUGGUCAGGUAGAGAAUACCAAGGCGCUUGAGAGAACUCGGGUGAAGGAACUAGGCAAAAUGGUGCCGUAACUUCGGGAGAAGGCACGCUGAUAUGUAGGUGAAGUCCCUCGCGGAUGGAGCUGAAAUCAGUCGAAGAUACCAGCUGGCUGCAACUGUUUAUUAAAAACACAGCACUGUGCAAACACGAAAGUGGACGUAUACGGUGUGACGCCUGCCCGGUGC